rnacentral:rRNA from 1 species
GAGAGUUAAAUAGUACGUGAAAUUGUUGAAAGGGAAACGAUUGAAGUCAGUCAUGCUAGUGAAAAAUCAGUUUGACGGGUUUUGAGUUCGGGAGUAGAGGCAGGGUCAAACCGUUUCUCUUUUGGACUUGGGAUUUGUCGGAUGUACUUUUUCUUUGGCAGGUCAGCGUCGGUUUCGGAGGUUGUAAAAUACUUGGGGGAAAGUAGCUCUGCUUCGGGAGAGUGUUAUAGACCUUGGGAGAUGCAGCCCGUGGGAUCGAGGAUUGCAGCAAAUGCCUUUGGCUUGUCUUCUGAUCUUUGGUUGUUACCUCGUUUAUGACAACAUUCUUGUCAUCGAUGAGUUCUAAUGGUUAUGGGUUAGAAUGAUCAAAAAUUUGCUAAGGAUGCUGACGUAAUGGCUUUAAACGA